rnacentral:tRNA from 1 species
GACAGCUCAGUCGGUAGAGCAUGAGACUCUUAAUCCCAAGGCUUUGGGUUCGAGUCCCACGUUGGGCA